AGCUAUCGUCUGGGAUGAAGUUUGUCUUGAAAAUAAGCUAGAAGUGUUCGAUUCACUUGGUGGCUU
rnacentral:tRNA from 1 species